CGCGUAGGCGGCGGACCUUGUCGAGUGUGAAAGCCCCGGGCUCAACCUGGGAGGUGCGCUCGAGACGGGUUUGCUGGAGUUCGGGAGAGGAGAGUGGAAUUCCCAGUGUAGAGGUGAAAUUCGUAGAUAUUGGGAAGAACACCGGUGGCGAAGGCGGCUCUCUGGACCGAGACUGACGCUGAGGCGCGAAAGCGUGGGGAGCAAACAGGAUUAGAUACCCUGGUAGUCCACGCUGUAAACGAUGUGUGCUAGACGUUGGGGAGCCUAGCUCUUCGGUGUCGCCGCAAACGCUUUAAGCACACCGCCUGGGGAGUACGGCCGCAAGGUUAAA
rnacentral:rRNA from 1 species